rnacentral:lncRNA from 1 species
GAUAAAGAAUAUUAUUACCACCCUUUUUGGUUAAAACUUUUUCUAACGGAUGUGAAAAAGCUUAAUAAUAAAGGCAAACAAAGUUGUUUUUGAUUUGUAUUUCGAUCCGCCCGUACCCGACUUCAACAGUUGGUUUCUCUCUCUUCUCUUCUUCUCUCGCGUCACUCACGGGCUGAGCAACUCGUCACCGACCAGCCACCACCUCUCACCACUUGGUUUCUCUCGCGUCACUCACCGGUCGGAGUCGUCGUCGAUUGCAGCAAUUAACCAUGAAGAUCGCAAAAGGAUACUCAAACGGCUCCUCCUAACGCUAAUGGGUCAAAACCCAAAUCAGCCCGGAUCAGAUCCAGUACUACAAAUCCAAAUCGGCCCGGAUCAGAUCUGUGCCUAGUCAAGAGAGGUCCUGCGCUCCUGUGGUAAAUAGCAGAUUUAUUAAAGAUGAGGUCUUAAGUUCUAACUUGAAUGAUGCAUGAGUUAAUAAUUAACAAAAAUCAGACUUUUUCACAUCUAUUAAAAAAGUUUAACUAAAAGAGUGGUGAUCAAUAGUUAUCAUCCAAUCUCCCCCGGGAGACAAGUUUCUGAGUUGUAAUUGUUUUUCUACUUUUACUAGAACUGUGUUAUUUGAGCAGCUUGAAAUUUCAGUUUUACAAGUAAAUAGAUUUGCAAUUUCGCUUUUUAAUUUUAUGAAUCUUUGAAUGAAUGCCUCUCUAAAAUCUUUACUUUUCAAUGAAAAUAUUUAUUACAUUACAACCUCGUCUGACAAAUGUGCUUUCAAUUUGUUCGACUUUCGUUUAAUAAGGUGUUUUUGUCCUGUUUCGAUCCAAGAUUGUGACAUUACAACCUUGCUAUAAAUAAUUGUGGAGAACUUCGAACGUUGGAGAGAAAGGAACCAACCACUAACGGAAAUGGUGCAUGUAAUUUGAAGGAUAUAAAAUAAUUUGCGGCCAGCAACGAGUGCAAAGGAACAUAUGAUCUGGACUGAUUUGAGCCAUUAUGAGUCCUUUUGAAUAAUAUUGUUUUGCUGCGCUUGGGAGGACUUAAACUUACUUUACAACUUCAUUGAAUGUUCAUCAAAAGGAAAAUAAAUAAAUAAAUAAAUAAUCGAUCUUGCAUAGAUUAUUUUUCUUUUCUUUUUUUUUCCCCUGAUUAGUUGGGAGGAUAUUUUGGUAAUGGUUUUGAUGGCUUUCUUAGGAGAUUAAUUAUUUAAUUUCCUCUUCAGUUUUAUGCUUUUGCAGCUAAUUGACGUUCGCUAUAUAAUUAGCAAUGAAUUAAACUACUUAAAAGGGAAGCAUAUAGUAGUGUACACAUCUUCCUCAGAGAUCAGAAUAAAUAAAUUAUGGUGGUGUAAAACUUCUACACAAUUUCCAUCCAUCUUUUUCCCAAUCGAUAAUCACAAUCGACCAUGCAAAGAUUGAAAAGAAGGAACUAGCUUGAAGAAUCUAGUGAAAAAACUUGGAACAAAAUAACAUAAUAGUUACAAAUAUAAGAACUCUACAUCCUUAUUUAUAUCAAGAGUUUAUAAUAUUAAAUUACAAUCUUUGUAAUAGAAACACUUUAUUAAAUGAAGGAGGAAUAACUUAAAAGCAUCGAUCGAUCGAGACUGCAAUAAUACAACAAAGAUUAAAGAGGCGUUCAUACAAAGAUUCAUAAAACUAAACAUGGGUUUCCUGGGGGCUCCUGGAAACUUUCAAAAGUUCUUUCCAUCGCGUCUGACUUUUUUGAGAAAUGACGCGAACACAGUACGAUUGAGUUAUCGUGUUUUUCCAACAUCACUGACCCGCUGAGGAUUUUUUGUGUUGGUUCAUCAGCCGUCUGCUUAAGAGAACUAGUACUACUCAUGAUUUGCUCUUAUUCAGUAUAAUGAGUAUUUGCUCCUGAGAAAGCUUGCUAGCUCAGUGUUAAUGAGGCUAGCUAUAUAUGCUACAAAAUGACUCAAAAACUUAACAGAGAACCAAAACCAUAUUCAUGAACCUCUCAUGAAUCAGAAUCAGAAUAAACAAAGGAAUUGCAUUCCACCUUUCUCAUGACAAAAAUAAUGCCGAUAAAGGUAAAUUUGAGAAUCGAAUAAUUCAAUAAUCAAUCAAGAAUAAUUCGAUGAUCAGAAUAACAGCAGAUGGACGCGAAAAUCAGAAACAAAGUGGCAGCGGCUUUGUGGCGUUCGUGUGGUUGUUCUGGGCGGUGAUUGACGUCGAUGACGCUGAUGUGUGGUCAUCGAUGUCUUAUGAAUGUGAGGGUGGGUUUUAUUGUAACAUAUGUACUUUUAUUUUCUAGUUAAGUCUAUUAUUUUUUCUUCAACAUAAAUUUUUAAAAUCAUUAGAUUUAUUACAAAUUGUCACUGGUAAAUUUUUGACUCGACACGAUGAAUAAUGAAUGUAGGUUGUCAAAUUUGGCACGGGUAUUAAUGGAUUGUGUUUAGAAUAAUUUAAAUUUGACGCCAUAUGAAAUCAAGUCAGCUCAAACGCUAUCCAACAGCAGUGCAGUCAGAUUUUAUUUCAACACAAAGGUUUGGCAUUAGCUUAAUUGUUAACAAUAAUAAUAGUUAUAAUAAUAAUAAUUUUUUCCUCUUUUGUUUUUUGUUAUUAUUUUAUCUCUCUUCCUUUGUUCUCUCCUCUUCUUCUUCUCUUUUUUUUUCUUUCUCUCUCCUGCAAUUUCUUUUCAAUUUCAUCUUCUUAAUCAUCAUCAUCAUCAUCACAAAUAUCUUCUUCUUUCUCCUGUCAAUUUCGUUUCUUCUUCUUCUUCAUCAACAUUAAAAUUCAGUUUCAUCUUCAUCAUCGUCAUCACAAUUACAUCAUCUUCAUCAUCAUCACCACAGUUACAUCAUCAAUUCAUACUUUUCAACGGAAAGAGGGGUAUUUUUGGAAUAUUAAAAAAAUAAUGGGGAUGUCUUCUUCACGAGGGGAAAUGGGAUUCUGAUUCCCAACUCUCUCCUGAAAUCAGAAACUCAGUAAUCACUUCAUAUUUUGGAUGGAACCAUAUAAAUUAUUCUCAUUCUUUUUUUUUUUAAACGAAAUUGUCCCCAUUCUUAAUUUCAAUUUAACAAAUAAAUAAAUUUUUUAUUAUGAUUCCGCUAUUUCCAUUCCGAUUCCGAAAAUAUAAACACACCAUAAAAAUAAUAUUAUUCAUUUUAUCGGGGCCUGACUAUUAUAAAGCGGAACCUAUCACUUGCGUUGGAACUACGGCCUGUAGGUUGAGCGUAGCUUCAAAAAUUACCUUAAAGAGGAAAAUAUCAUUACACACAAUCUCUCUCUCUCUCUCAUAAUUAAGUUCUUCUCGCGCCCUUUUUUUUUUUUGGGGGGGGGGGGGGGGGGGGGGGGGGGGGGGGGGGGGGGGGGGGGGGGGGGGUUUGCAAAUAUCUUGUAGAAAGAUGAAAAAUUCUUGUCCAUUCUUAAUUAAUUUGGGAUCAUAUUUCAGUUUAAGUACAUGUAUAGUCUCUAUGUACUCAAAAGUACCUUAAAAAUACUUGCUAUUAAAUAUAUUACAUUCAUAUUCUUAUUCUUUUAUUUGCUUUUAAUGUAAUACUCUUGCAAUAAUAUUUUUGGGUAUAUUAAUUGAUAUUAAAAAAAAAGGUUAAUUAACAAAUUAACCAUAAAAGUAAAAUUCUUAUAAAAAUUUUUAAUUCUUUUAAAUUUUUAAUCUUUAUUCAAAUUAUCUUAAAAGAUAAAAAGAAAAAAAAAAUCAUUAUACGGAAUCUGAAAAAAAAUCACUAUACGGAAUCUCUCUCUCAUAAUUAUGUUCUCCUCUUUCAUUUGCUUGGUGCCUUUUUUUUAUUUUUUUUAAAGUUGGCAAAUCACUUGAAUAUAAAAAUAUGAAAAUUUUUUGUGUAUCCUUAAGUAAUUAGGUCUUUAUUUUUGGCGCUUAGGAUUUGAUUUAUUAACGGUUUUUUCUGUUUUGAAAAUUUUGCAUGUUCUUAUUAAGCCAUGUCUAUUUUCAAUUUUUUCUUCAUAUAGCAUUGCCUUAGAAACUAAUAAAAUAUGUACAUAUUUCAUUAGUUUUUAGAAGAGAGCGAUACUAUAAAUUGAAAAUUGAAAGGGGAAGAAAUUGGAGGGCAGUUUUGGAAUCAUUGGGGUCUUAUUUUGGGGUAUCUUGAAUAGAGUGGUUUUAUGAGGAAUUUUUAGGGGUGUCAAAAUCUCGAGUCCCCUUAUGAACACUCAGGACACAUACCUUUCAAAUCCAUUGGGCAUAGACUAGGUUCAAAGCUAACACAUAGUCACGUACCCUUUAAAGGGGUCAAUUGCUCAAAAGUGACUUCUCUGUGAAGCUAAGGAUAUUUCUUUGGGUAAUUUGUACUUGAAGUUUGUAACUAGAAAGACAGUAACUGCAGAAUUUAAAGCACUUUUGAUUUAACUGAUACUAUAAGCAUAGUUCUAUAAUUCUCCAAGAGAAAUACAAUACUGAAUUCAAUAAGCUACAACUGAGAGCUAAAAUGCUGAAUUUUAUCUACUUAUAGGUUACAAGCUAGUAGCAUGUGUAAUAUUUAUAGUAGAAGUUAGUUACAAUAAUACAAAUACUCUCUUACCUUGAUUUUACUUUCUCUGCUUUUCUCUGUAUCCAAAUACAUCGUUAUAAAGCUUCACAAAAGUUAAUUAAACCAUUUAAUAUUUUAUAUCCUUCAAAUUACAUGCACCAUUUCCGUUAGUGGUUGGUUCCUUUCUCUCCAACGUUCGAAGUUCUCCACAAUUAUUUAUAGCAAGGUUGUAAUGUCACAAUCUUGGAUCGAAACAGGACAAAAACACCUUAUUAAAUGAAAGUAGAACAAAUUGAAGCACAUUUGUCAGACGAGGUUGUAAUGUAAUAAAUAUUUUCAUUUUAAAAUAAAGAUUUUAGAGAGGCAUUCAUUUACAGAUUCAUAAAAUUAAAAAGUGAAAUUACAAAUCUAUUUACUUGUAAAACAAAAAUUUCAAGCUGCUGAAAUAACACAGUUAUAGUAAAAGUAGAAUAAUAAUUACAACUCAGAAACUUGUCUCCCGGGGGAGAUUGGACGAUAAAUAUUGAUCACCACUCUUUUAGUUAAACUUUUUAAAUAGAGGUGAAAAAGUCUGAUUUAAAAUUUUUUAUUUUUUUAAUUAUUAACUCAUGCAUCAUUCAAGUUAGAACUUAAGACCUCAACUAAUGCGGAAAAUGGUGGAUUGGAUAUGGAUUGAGUCAAAUCCGCAUCCAAUCCGUAGAUGUAUGGAUUAGAUUUGGAUUGAAUUUUAUCAAUCCGUGAAUUGAAUUGGAUUGAAAAAUUAUAAUCUGUAAAAUCAUGAAUCGGAUAUGGAUCGAUGUCCAAUCCGUAAAAUCCGAUCCGCGAACACCCCUAUUUGCUAUAUAUGCUCAAAGGCUUAGCAAAGAAUCAAACAUAUUCACGAUGAAACCUCUCAGGAAUCACAAUGAAGGUCGUUUUCUUCUCUAUUUCCGUGAGACUUCUUUUCCACUGAAAUUAAAACUCGAAAGAAUUCUGAUUUGAAAAAAUGAAUGAUCAGAAUUCAGAAAAUUCUUUUUGCAGAAGAGGAAUUAUUGAUUACUACUUAGACUGAUUAAAAAAAAAAAUUGCUUCUUCAUUUGUAUAAAUUUCAAUUUCUUUUUGAUUAAAUUGAAUGUUGACUAACGACGCAGGAAGUAAAAGUUGUCCGCUGCGCUUAAUUUUGAAUAAUAUAUCUUUUUGUGUUGAUGAACGCAAUUCAAAUCACCUUUCCCUUUUACGAUUGUCAUUGGCAUCCGAUUCCAGCAACACUCUUUUUGCAUUCAUUCGCUUAUUUCUACUGUUUCUUCGGGAAAGAGUUGUUGUUCAUGAUCAUGAAAAUGUUUUAUUUUGAUAAAGGGAAAAUUGCACCUAUACUCCCUAUAUUCAAUGAAAUGUAUAUGGAUUUCGUCUUCCGGCUCCUUAGUUUUUUUCCCUCUCCUCUUUUCCUCCCCUCUUCUCUCUUUUUAUUUCUUCAAUCCAAACUUACUGUAACUUAAGUUUUUAAAAAUGAUCAUACAGACACCCUUUUACCCUUUUACUCUAUUAACUUAGAAAAAUUGACUCUAAAUUUUAUAAUAUACAAAAAUAUAGUAUUAAAAUGCCUGUGAUGUGUGUGUGUGUGUAUAUAUAUUUAAUUUAAUAUGAUUAAUUUGAGAUAUGUUUUAUUAUUAAUAUUUGUAAAAGCAAGAUUUAUUUUAAAUUUUUUAAUAAAUAAAAAUAUAAUAUUCAAAUAAAUACAAAAAUAUUUUUAUUUUUUAUUAUUUUGAAUAUUAUAAAAAAUCUAUAUAUUAUUAAUAUGCCAAUCAAUUUUUUGUUAAUAAUAAAAUUUAUUUUACCCAAAUAUUUUUUACAAAUAUAUUUAUAAUAGGUACAAGCGUAAUACUAUAAGUAAAUAUAAUAAUUUUUAUUUUGAAGAUAUUUCAAUUAUUAAAACACUUAUUUUAAUAUCAUAGGUAUCUUAGAGAAAGAUUUUCUUAUUAAUGGUAUAUUUUCAUUUAUUAAAAGACAUUAAAGUAAAUUUUCUUAGUUAUUAUAUUAAAAGAAUAUAAUGAUUAAAAAGGAUUAUGCGUGACGAUGUGAGCAUUUAUGAAACCUUAGAGGUCUACUUAUUCAUUUUAGCAAAGCAUGAGGGCUUAGGUAUCCUUUUUCCUUCAGUAAACUAUCAAAAUUUAGCUACAAUAUUAUGAGCAAAUAGUACAAUUUCAAUAUAUUUAUGGGAGAUUAGAUAAAGAAUAUUAUUACCACCCUUUUUGGUUAAAACUUUUUCUAACGGAUGUGAAAAAGCUUAAUAAUAAAGGCAAACAAAGUUGUUUUUGAUUUGUAUUUCGAUCCGCCCGUACCCGACUUCAACAGUUGGUUUCUCUCUCUUCUCUUCUUCUCUCGCGUCACUCACGGGCUGAGCAACUCGUCACCGACCAGCCACCACCUCUCACCACUUGGUUUCUCUCGCGUCACUCACCGGUCGGAGUCGUCGUCGAUUGCAGCAAUUAACCAUGAAGAUCGCAAAAGGAUACUCAAACGGCUCCUCCUAACGCUAAUGGGUCAAAACCCAAAUCAGCCCGGAUCAGAUCCAGUACUACAAAUCCAAAUCGGCCCGGAUCAGAUCUGUGCCUAGUCAAGAGAGGUCCUGCGCUCCUGUGGUAAAUAGCAGAUUUAUUAAAGAUGAGGUCUUAAGUUCUAACUUGAAUGAUGCAUGAGUUAAUAAUUAACAAAAAUCAGACUUUUUCACAUCUAUUAAAAAAGUUUAACUAAAAGAGUGGUGAUCAAUAGUUAUCAUCCAAUCUCCCCCGGGAGACAAGUUUCUGAGUUGUAAUUGUUUUUCUACUUUUACUAGAACUGUGUUAUUUGAGCAGCUUGAAAUUUCAGUUUUACAAGUAAAUAGAUUUGCAAUUUCGCUUUUUAAUUUUAUGAAUCUUUGAA